CCUACGGGUGGCAGCAGUAAGGAAUAUUUGUCAAUGGACGAAAGUCUGAACCAGCCAUCCCGCGUGCAGGAUGAAAGCCCUAUGGGUUGUAAACUGCUUUUAGCAGAGAAGAAAAGCUUUCAUUAAUGAGAGUCUGACGGUAUCUGCAGAAUAAGCACCGGCUAACUCCGUGCCAGCAGCCGCGGUAAUACGGAGGGUGCGAGCGUUAUCCGGUUUUACUGGGUUGUAGGGGGACGAUGACGGCAUUUUAGAAAUCUUGUCGCUUAACGAUAAAAUUGCCAAUGAUACUGGUACUCUUGAAUUGGGUUGAGGUUAGCGGAAUGUGACAUGUAGCAGUGAAAUGCAUAGAUAUGUCAUGGAACACCAAUUGCGAAGGCAGCUAACUGGGCCUUGAUUGACGCUGAGGCACGAAAGCGUGGGUAGCGAACAGGAUUAGAUACCCUGGUAGUC
rnacentral:rRNA from 1 species